CUCAAGAGACAAGAAUCUGGAAAGCAGCAGAGGCUCGCUGUCAGCAUAACCAAAAACUAGAGAGUAAAAGACACCAGAAGAUGUUUCCUCGAGCAAGAGAUUCAGGGCGGGGAAGUUCAUUCUAACUUGUUGCUUAUGUUGCGUUUGUGUCUCUCCACCGAAAUCGCCAGCAGGGCUGGCAAUUAAUGACAACUCCAAAGAGGGAAAAGAGUCAGAGACAGAACACCAUUGCCAGAAUGAACGUGAGCAGAUCAUGACCACCAAUGUAUGGAUCAAUCAGUCCCCAAGAGUUUGGGAGAGCCAGCGGUGUUGAAGAAAGAAGGGUAUACGACAUCCAGACAUCUCCUGAAGCACAGAUAAGAAACCAAAGGUUGUCCCCACAUGAAACAGCCACCCAAUUUUCCUCCCUUCUCCUUCUAAGAUUGUGUGUAGUGAGGAAAUCCAGGGCUUGACUUCACCUUAGGUUCAC